GACGAACGCUGGCGGCGUGCUUAACACAUGCAAGUCGAACGGAAAGGCCCUGCUUUUGUGGGGUGCUCGAGUGGCGAACGGGUGAGUAACACGUGAGUAACCUGCCCUUGACUUUGGGAUAACUUCAGGAAACUGGGGCUAAUACCGGAUAGGAGCUCCUGCUGCAUGGUGGGGGUUGGAAAGUUUCGGCGGUUGGGGAUGGACUCGCGGCUUAUCAGCUUGUUGGUGGGGGAGUGGCUUACCAAGGCUUUGACGGGUAGCCGGCCUGGGAGGGUGACCGGGCACAUUGGGACUGAGGUACGGCCCAGACUCCUACGGGAGGCAGCAGUGGGGAAUAUUGCACAAUGGGCGGAAGCCUGAUGCAGCAACGCCGCGUGCGGGAUGACGGCCUUCGGGUUGUAAACCGCUUUCGCCUGUGACGAAGCGUGAGUGACGGUAAUGGGUAAAGAAGCACCGGCUAACUACGUG
rnacentral:rRNA from 1 species